UCGAGAGUUUGAUCCUGGCUCAGAUUGAACGCUGGCGGAAUGCUUUACACAUGCAAAUCGAAUGGUAGAGGGGGCAACCCCUCGAGAGUGGCGAACGGGUGAGUAAUAUAUCGGAACGUGCCCAGUCGUGGGGGAUAACGUAGCGAAAGUUACGCUAAUACCGCAUACGAUCUAAGGAUGAAAGCGGGGAUCGCAAGACCUCGCGCGACUGGAGCGGCCGAUAUCAGAUUAGGUAGUUGGUGGGGUAAAGGCUCACCAAGCCAACGAUCUGUAGCUGGUCUGAGAGGACGACCAGCCACACUGGAACUGAGACACGGUCCAGACCUCCGUACGGGAGGCAGCGAG
rnacentral:rRNA from 1 species